CAGGCCUAACACAUGCAAGUCGGACGGUAACAUGAGGUGCUUGCACUUUGAUGACGAGUGGCGCACGGGUGCGCAACGCGUAUAGAACCUACCCUGUACAGGGGGAUAGCCCAGAGAAAUUUGGAUUAAUACCCCGUGGUAAAUAUAAAUGGCAUCAUUUAUAUUUUAAAGUUUUCGGACGGUACGGGAUGGCUAUGCGUCCUAUUAGUUAGAUGGUGAGGUAACGGCUCACCAUGGCAGCGAUAGGUAGGGGCCCUGAGAGGGGGAUCCCCCACACUGGUACUGAGACACGGACCAGACUCCUACGGGAGGCAGCAGUGAGGAAUAUUGGACAAUGGGCGCAAGCCUGAUCCAGCCAUGCCGCGUGCAGGAAGACGGCCCUAUGGGUUGUAAACUGCUUUUAUACGGGAAGAAUAAGGGACACGUGUGUCCUGGUGACGGUACCGUAAGAAUAAGGACCGGCUAACUCCGUGCCAGCAGCCGCGGUAAUACGGAGGGUCCGAGCGUUAUCCGGAAUUAUUGGGUUUAAAGGGUCCGCAGGCGGGCAAUUAAGUCAGGGGUGAAAUGGUGCGGCUCAACCGUAGCACUGCCCUUGAUACUGGUUGUCUUGAGUCAUAGUGAAGUGGCCGGAAUAUGUAGUGUAGCGGUGAAAUGCAUAGAUAUUACAUAGAACACCGAUUGCGAAGGCAGGUCACUAACUAUCGACUGACGCUGAUGGACGAAAGCGUGGGGAGCGAACGGGAUUAGAUACCCCGGUAGUCCACGCCGUAAACGAUGGAUACUAGCUGUCCGCUGCCUUGAGCAGUGGGCGGCCCAGCGAAAGUGAUAAGUAUCCCACCUGGGGAGUACGUUCGCAAGAAUGAAACUCAAGGAAUUGACGGGGGCCCGCACAAGCGGUGGAGCAUGUGGUUUAAUUCGAUGAUACGCGAGGAACCUUACCCAGGCUUAAAUGCAUAAUGACAGG
rnacentral:rRNA from 1 species